rnacentral:rRNA from 1 species
CCUACGGGUGGCAGCAGUGGGGAAUAUUGCACAAUGGGGGAAACCCUGAUGCAGCGACGCCGCGUGAGCGAAGAAGUAUUUCGGUAUGUAAAGCUCUAUCAGCAGGGAAGAAAAUGACGGUACCUGAGUAAGAAGCUCCGGCUAAAUACGUGCCAGCAGCCGCGGUAAGACGUAUGGAGCAAGCGUUAUCCGGAUUUACUGGGCGGAAGGGGAGCGUAGGCGGGCUGCACCGUCUGCUGGGAAAUCCCGGGGCUCCACCCCGGGGCUGCAUUGGAAACUGGCAGGCUGGGUUGCCGGAGGUGCAGGCGGAUUUCCUAGUGUAGCGGUGAAAUGCGUCGAUAUUAGGAGGAACACCAGUGGCGAGGGCGGCCUGCUGGACGGUGCCUGACGCUGAGGCUCGAAAGCGUGGGGAGCAAACAGGAUUAGAUACCCGGGUAGUC